rnacentral:rRNA from 1 species
AUUGAACGCUGGCGGCAUGCCUUACACAUGCAAGUCGAACGGCAGCACGGGAGCAAUCCUGGUGGCGAGUGGCGAACGGGUGAGUAAUAUAUCGGAACGUGCCCAGUCGUGGGGGAUAACGCAGCGAAAGCUGUGCUAAUACCGCAUACGAUCUCUGGAUGAAAGCGGGGGACUCGCAAGAGCCUCGCGCGAUUGGAGCGGCCGAUAUCAGAUUAGCUAGUUGGUGGGGUAAAAGCUCACCAAGGCGACGAUCUGUAGCUGGUCUGAGAGGACGACCAGCCACACUGGAACUGAGACACGGUCCAGACUCCUACGGGAGGCAGCAGUGGGGAAUUUUGGACAAUGGGCGCAAGCCUGAUCCAGCAAUGCCGCGUGCGGGAUGAAGGCCUUCGGGUUGUAAACUGCUUUUGUACGGAACGAAACGGCUCUUUCUAAUAAAGAGGGCUAAUGACGGUACCGUAAGAAUAAGCGCCGGC